rnacentral:rRNA from 1 species
GUGGUUAGUCCGCAACGAGCGCAACCCCUAUUGUUAGUUGCCAUCAUUCAGUUGGGCACUCUAGCGAGACUGCCGGUAAUAAACCGGAGGAAGGUGGGGAUGACGUCAAAUCAUCAUGCCCCUUAUGACCUGGGCUACACACGUGCUACAAUGGUUGGUACAACGAGUUGCGAGUCGGUGACGGCGAGCUAAUCUCUUAAAGCCAAUCUCAGUUCGGAUUGUAGGCUGCAACUCGCCUACAUGAAGUCGGAAUCGCUAGUAAUCGCGGAUCAGCACGCCGCGGUGAAUACGUUCCCGGGCCUU